rnacentral:sRNA from 1 species
ACUCAGGAUCUGCUCUCCGGCAAAGUAGUAAGUGAGGUGUGCUGAGAGCAGAAUGAGCUACUUUGUGGAUUCUGCUGGGAGCAGCCCCGUCCCUUACUCAGCGGCUCGUCCUGCAGUGGUGUGAAAUACGGACAGAUAAGUUUAUUUUAGUUAUUUUUUCUUUUUCUUUUUUUUUUUUCUGUCACUCAGGCUGGAGUGCAGUGGCACAAUCUUGGCUCACUCCAACCUCUAUCUUCUGGGUUCAAGCAAUUCACCUGCCUUAGCCUCCCAAGUAGCUGGGAUUACAGACCUGCACCACCACGCCUGGCUAAUUUUUGUAUUUUUAGUAGAGAAGGGGUUUCACCAUGUUGGCCAGGCUGGUCUCGAACUCAUGACCUCAAGUGAUCUUUCUUUGAGAUGGUCUCGCUCUGUUGCCCAGGCUGGAGUGCAGUGGUUUGAUCUCUGCUCACUGCAACAUGUGCCUCCCUGGUUCAAGCGAUUCUCCUGCCUCAGCCUCCCAAGUGGCUGGGAUUACAGGUGCCCACCACCACGCCCAACUAAUUUUUUGUAUUUUUAGUAGAGACAGAGUUUCACCAUGUUGGCCAGGCUGGUCUCAAACUCCUGACCUCGGGUGACCCAUCCACCUCG